AUCUUCAGGGCGGGGCGCAAUUCCCCACCGGCGGUCACAGCCCGCGAACUCCGCAUCCGCGGAGCCGGUUCGGUGAAAUUCCGAAGCCGACAGUAUAGUCUGGAUGAGAGAAGA
rnacentral:ncRNA from 1 species